rnacentral:rRNA from 1 species
UGGGGAAUAUUGGGCAAUGGGGGAAACCCUGACCCAGCAACGCCGCGUGAGGGAAGAAGGUUUUCGGAUUGUAAACCUCUGUCCUUGGUGAAGAAAGAGAUGACGGUAGCCAAGGAGGAAGCCCCGGCUAACUACGUGCCAGCAGCCGCGGUAAUACGGAGGGGGCGAGCGUUGUCCGAAUUUAUUGGGCGUAAAGCGCGUGUAGGCGGAUCGUCAAGCCUGGGGUGAAAGGUCGGGGCUCAACCCCGCACAGUGCCCUGGGGACUGGCGGUCUGGAGGCAGGCAGAGGAGCGUAGAAUUCCUGGUGUAGCGGUGGAAUGCGUAGAGAUCAGGAAGAAUACCCGUGGCGAAGGCGGCGCUCUGGGCCUGUACUGACGCUGAGACGCGAAAGCGUGGGGAGCGAACGGG